rnacentral:pre_miRNA from 1 species
AGGAGGAACAGCCCCAGUGGCGGGGCCAGCUCUGGAAACCUGGAUUCAGCUCCGGCGGGAACUCCGUCUGCAGGGCCUGGAGGCUCUGGGGCGGG